rnacentral:rRNA from 1 species
AUUGAACGCCGGCGGCACGCCUAACACAUGCAAGUCGAACGGCAGCGCGGAGAGCUUGCUCUCUGGCGGCGAGUGGCGGACGGGUGAGUAAUGGAUAGGAAUCUGCCCAAAAGUGGGGAACAACUCGGGGAAACUCGAGCUAAUACCGCAUAAGCCCUACGGGGUAAAGCAGGGGAUCUUCGGACCUUGCGCUUUUGGAUGAGCCUAUCUUAGAUUAGUUUGUUGGUGGGGUAACGGCCUACCAAGACGACGAUCUAUAGCUGGUCUGAGAGGAUGAUCAGCCACACUGGGACUGAGACACGGCCCAG